UGCAGGCUUGUAAUUCUAAUUCAACACCAAUUUGGUUACUCUGCUAUUUCUGAUUCAAUUUUUGGUUAAUACCCAAUCGAGGAGCAAAGAAGGGAAAUAAGAAUUGAUUAGUCAUGAUGAAAAGGAGGUGGAAAAGGCCUGCAAUAACAAAGAAAACCAGCAAUGACAGCAAGCUAAAAUUGCAGAAUAUGAAGAACAUGAUGAAAAGGAACUUUUUGUUAACAAUUAUAAUGCUGCAGAGAGUGUGACAUGGAUUUCUCAUGUAUAAUCUUUCCUGAAACUGGAAAAGGUCAUUUCCAAGGUGACCAACAGACAGAAAAAUUGUAGUUGGCACUUCAAGUCUUCAACAGAUGUGAAAGUAAUCAUGGAUGAUUUUUCAGUUCCUGGAAUUAGCCGAAUGGUGUCCAACACCUCACUUCACUCCAGCUUUUGAGAAUUCAGGACUGCCCAACAUUAGCUGAGAGGUGUAAGGAGGGAACAGAGGUGGAUUCGGACAAGAUAGCGCACGUUCCCAAAGUUGAAUUCUGCAACGCGUAAUUUUGCCUAAUGGGGGAGAACUUGAACAACAAUUUGGGUACUCUGCUAUUUCUGAUUCUAUUUUUGGUUAAUACAUAUCAGAUGUCUUUGAUCUUCCUUUUGGAGACUGGAUUCCCUGACCAACUCUCAAUCGAGUGCUCAAAAGAACCCUUCAUAUGGAGAGGCAGCCAACCCAGGGAGAGAAGCUUUCGGCCAUAAAAGCAAACUGUCAAAUUGAGCUUUCUCUAGAUGAAUGUGUGAUGAUUCUCAGUCAUAUGAGAGAAUUCCACAGGCUCCCUUGAAGACCUUAUAGAUAUUGCUUCUAAGUAUGAAGAUGAUGAAUCCACAGUUCCUCGCUGAAACACCAGAUUCUAAUUCCAUGCACCACCAUUCAGGCACAGAUGAUAGUUUAAAAGAUAAAUUAUUUACCAUGUUCCUUUUAAUAUUUUGGUUGUAUUGAUUUCACCAUUUGGUUCCUCACUGAAUGUGAUUAGUGGAUGUUUGGAAAUACAAUAUAUUUUUCACAUUGGGGUGAGAUUGUGAGAACUUAAUAGUUGACUGACUCUAACAUAAAUCUGUCUCUGAUCUCUCUGCUCA